UGCUGCAUGGCUGUCGUCAGCUCGUGUCGUGAGAUGUCGGUUAAGUCCGCUAACGAGCGCAACCCUCGCUGUGUGUUACAAGUGUCACACGGAACUGCCGGUCAUAAACCGGAGGAAGGUGGGGAUGACGUCAAGUCCUCAUGGCCCUUACAGGCUGGGCUACACACGUGCUACAAUGGCAUCUACAGUGGGCAGCUAUUCCGCAAGGAUGCGCUAAUCUCCAAAAGAUGUCUCAGUUCGGAUUGUCCUCUGCAACUCGAGGGCAUGAAGGCGGAAUCGCUAGUAAUCGCGGAUCAGCAUGCCGCGGUGAAUACGUUCCCAGGCCUU
rnacentral:rRNA from 1 species